CGGGAGGCAGCAGUGGGGAAUAUUGGACAAUGGGGGAAACCCUGAUCCAGCGACGCCGCGUGAGUGAAGAAGUAUUUCGGUAUGUAAAGCUCUAUCAGCAAGGAAGAAAAUGACGGUACUUGACUAAGAAGCUCCGGCUAAAUACGUGCCAGCAGCCGCGGUAAUACGUAUGGAGCAAGCGUUAUCCGGAUUUACUGGGUGUAAAGGGAGCGCAGACGGCUUUGCAAGUCUGAAGUGAAAGCCCGGGGCUCAACCCCGGAACUGCUUUGGAAACUGUAGAGCUAGAGUACAGGAGGGGUAAGCGGAAUUCCUAGUGUAGCGGUGAAAUGCGUAGAUAUUAGGAGGAACACCAGUGGCGAAAGCGGCUUACUGGACUGUAACUGACGUUGAGGCUCGAAAGCGUGGGGAGCAAACAGGAUUAGAUACCCUGGUA
rnacentral:rRNA from 1 species